UCUCCAGACUCCUACGGGAGGCAGCAGUGGGGAAUAUUGCACAAUGGGGGAAACCCUGAUGCAGCGACGCCGCGUGAGCGAAGAAGUAUUUCGGUAUGUAAAGCUCUAUCAGCAGGGAAGAAAUUGACGGUACCUGAGUAAGAAGCUCCGGCUAAAUACGUGCCAGCAGCCGCGGUAAUACGUAUGGAGCAAGCGUUAUCCGGAUUUACUGGGUGUAAAGGGAGCGUAGGCGGCCUGCCAAGUCUGAUGUGAAACCCCGGGGCUCAACCCCGGGCAUGCAUUGGAAACUGGCGGGCUGGAGUGCCGGAGAGGUAAGCGGAAUUCCUAGUGUAGCGGUGAAAUGCGUAGAUAUUAGGAGGAACACCAGUGGCGAAGGCGGCUUACUGGACGGCGACUGACGCUGAGGCUCGAAAGCGUGGGGAGCAAACAGGAUUAGAUACCCGUGUACGU
rnacentral:rRNA from 1 species